GAUGAACGCUGGCGGCGUGCUUAAUACAUGCAAGUCGAGCGAACAGACGCGGAUCUUGCUCCUCUGGCGUUAGCGGCGGACGGGUGAGUAACACGUGGAUAACCUACCUAUAAGACUGGGAUAACUUCGGGAAACCGGUGCUAAUACCGGAUAAUUUAUUGAACCGCAUGGUUCAAUAGUGAAAGACGGUUUUGCUGUCACUUAUAGAUGGAUCCGCGCGGCAUUAGCUAGUUGGUAAGGUAACGGCUUACCAAGGCCACGAUGCGUAGCCGACCCGAGAGGGUGAUCGGCGACACUGGAAGUGAGACGCGGUCCAGACUCCUACGGGCGGCAGCAGUAGGGAAUCUUCCGCAAUGGGCGAAAGCCUGACGGAGCAGCGCCGCGUGAGUGAUGAAGGUCUUCGGAUCGUAAAACUCUGUUAUUAGGGAAGAACAAAUGUGUAAGUAACUAUGCACGUCUUGACGGUACCUAAUCAGAAAGCAACGGCUAACUACGUG
rnacentral:rRNA from 1 species